AUUAUCACGGGAUCAGAUUGUUUUGUUGUAGGAUGAUGAAGUGUUGUUCGCCGAUCGGAUUGUAUGUUGUGUUCUUGGACUAUGAUAGUUUAUGUCGAAUGCACUUUUGAUUUUCAGAUUGUGCGUACUGUAGUUUACUCUAGAUCGUGUGUAUCGCAGAUUUUCAUGUUCCUCUUCAAGAGUUUCUAAAAGAGAGAAUACGAAAAUCUGUAGUACACACAAUCUGAAAAACAAAAGUACAUUCAACACUGCCAUAGUUCGACAACAAAACACAUAUUCUGAUCGGCAGACGACACUUCAUCCUAUAACAAAACAAACUGAUCUCUUACUAAU